AUUGAACGCUGGCGGCAGGCCUAACACAUGCAAGUCGAGCGGAUGAAGGGAGCUUGCUCCUGGAUUCAGCGGCGGACGGGUGAGUAAUGCCUAGGAAUCUGCCUGGUAGUGGGGGAUAACGUCCGGAAACGGGCGCUAAUACCGCAUACGUCCUUAGGGAGAAAGUGGGGGAUCUUCGGACCCCACGCUAUCAGAUGAGCCUAGGUCGGAUUAGCUAGUUGGGAGGGUAAAGGCCUACCAAGGCGACGAUCCGUAACUGGUCUGAGAGGAUGAUCAGUCACACUGGAACUGAGACACGGUCCAGACUCCUACGGGAGGCAGCAGUAGGGAAUAUUGGGCAAUGGGCGAAAGCCUGAUCCAGCCAUGCCGCGUGUGUGAAGAAGGUCUUCGGAUUGUAAAGCACUUUAAGUUGGGAGGAACGGCAGUAAGUUAAUACCUUGCUGUUUUGACGUUACCAACAGAAUAAGCACCGGCUAACUUCGUG
rnacentral:rRNA from 1 species